rnacentral:rRNA from 1 species
AGAGACCGGCGCACGGGUGCGUAACGCGUAUGCAAUCUACCUUUUACAGAGGGAUAGCCCAGAGAAAUUUGGAUUAAUACCUCAUAGUAUUAUUGAAUGGCAUCAUUUAAUAAUUAAAGUCACAACGGUAAAAGAUGAGCAUGCGUCCCAUUAGCUAGUUGGUAAGGUAACGGCUUACCAAGGCAACGAUGGGUAGGGGUCCUGAGAGGGAGAUCCCCCACACUGGUACUGAGACACGGACCAGACUCCUACGGGAGGCAGCAGUGAGGAAUAUUGGUCAAUGGGCGCAAGCCUGAACCGGCCAUGCCGCGUGCAGGAUGAAGCAUCUAUGGUGUGUAAACUGCUUUUGUACGAGAAGAAACACUCCUACGUGUAGGAGCUUGACGGUAUCGUAAGAAUAAGGACCGGCUAACUCCGUGCCAGCAGCCGCGGUAAUACGGAGGGUCCAAGCGUUAUCCGGAAUCAUUGGGUUUAAAGGGUCCGUAGGCGGUUUUGUAAGUCAGUGGUGAAAGCCCAUCGCUCAACGGUGGAACGGCCAUUGAUACUGCAAGACUUGAAUUAUUGGGAAGUAACUAGAAUAUGUAGUGUAGCGGUGAAAUGCUUAGAGAUUACAUGGAAUACCAAUUGCGAAGGCAGGUUACUACCAAUAUAUUGACGCUGAUGGACGAAAGCGUGGGGA